AGAGAUGUGUGAUGACGCAUAUCAAUAAGCGGAGGAAAAGAAACUAACAAGGAUUCCCUUAGUAACGGCGAGUGAAGCGGGAAGAGCUCAAAUUUGAAAUCUUCAAGGUUCUACCUUGACGAAUUGUAGUUUAUAGAAGUGUUUUCUGUAGUGGAGUUCGGUAAAAGUUCUUUGGAAUAGGACAUCAUAGAGGGUGAGAAUCCCGUAUUUGAUCAUUACUUUCCUAGCUUUGUGAUACACUUUCAAAGAGUCGGAUUGUUUGGGAAUGCAGUCCAAAAUGGGUGGUAAAUUUCAUCUAAAGCUAAAUAUUGGCGAGAGACCGAUAGCGAACAAGUACCGUGAUGGAAAGAUGAAAAGAACUUUGAAAAGAGAGUUAAACAGUACGUGAAAUUGUCAAAAGGGAAGCGUUUGACACCAGUGUUGUUUUUCCGAAAAUCAAUUACGAAUGUUUUGUUUUUGAGGAGUUAUGACUUCAUCGGCUUGCUUCUCUCUUUACGAAACUUUCUUAAUGCACUUUUCGGUUAACAAGUCAACAUCAAUUUCUUUUGUUGUAAAAGGGUAUGAGGAAGGUGGCUUUCUUUUCGGAGAAAGUGUUUAUAGCCCUUGUACUUCUGCAAUCGGAGAGAUUGAGGUCUGCAGCGUAGAUCCUUCGGGGUUAGAUACAUUUGUGCUAAGUUAUAGCUUUUCAUAGGACAACUUGUUGACUAUGUUAAGUCUUGUAGCUUACAUCGCUUAUGCUAUUUUACCUACGCUUAGGAUGUUGAAGAUGUAGCACAUCAU
rnacentral:rRNA from 1 species